AUGCAGUUUAUGUUGCUUUUUAGUCGUCAAGGAAAGCUUCGACUGCAGAAAUGGUAUGUCCCACUAUCAGACAAAGAGAAGAAAAAGAUCACAAGAGAACUUGUUCAAACCGUUUUAGCACGGAAACCUAAAAUGUGCAGCUUCCUUGAGUGGCGAGAUCUGAAGAUUGUUUACAAAAGAUAUGCUAGUCUGUAUUUUUGCUGUGCUAUUGAAGAUCAGGACAAUGAGCUAAUUACCCUGGAAAUAAUUCAUCGUUACGUGGAAUUACUUGACAAGUAUUUUGGCAGUGUGUGUGAACUUGAUAUCAUCUUUAAUUUUGAGAAGGCGUAUUUUAUUUUAGAUGAGUUUCUUUUGGGAGGGGAAGUUCAGGAAACAUCUAAGAAAAAUGUCCUUAAAGCAAUUGAGCAGGCCGAUCUACUGCAGGAGAGCCAGAAUGAAGAAUGGGGAGGUUUGUCUGAGGAUAUCUUAUGAUAAAGAGCAGUCUAAGGCUUUAGUCCCUUUGACCCCCAACUUAUUUAUUGGAUGCAAAAGAAGCUGAAACCCCACGUAGUGUUCUUGAAGAAAUUGGACUGACAUAACUCUCCUCCCUUGUUGAUGACUUCUUGUGGCAUUUCACACACUGUAGAUGGUCACUGCCUUCAUGUCCAUGUUAGCUAAUGGUGUAAGAAGAUGUCUUGUCAGUAUUACUGUUUUGCUAAGCUGCUUAACACAGGCCUACACAAUUUUUUUUAAAAAGGGAACUUUGGGUUAAUCAAAUGAUAAAUUAAGGGACUUAGAUAUGAAUUAGAAUGAUGCAGAAAGAUACUUUUUCUGGAGAUUUUAAAGUUUAUAGGUCAGUUUCUUUUAAUCUGAUUAUGUGCAUAUAUGAAAAUGACAUCUAUAUAGAUGUAAAAUCAAAUAAUCAGGCAAUAUACAUUUAUUAAUUACUGUAUUUGACAAAGGAGACUUAAAUUAUAAUGUGAAACCUGGUUUUAUGAAACCAAGCACUAGUGCAGCAUUUCAAUGUAUAUAAGAAUAAAGGGAAUUGACAUGUCACAUAUCGAGUGAAAAUUUAACUCUGUUAAAACUUAACAAAUUUUUACCAAAGAUCUGUACUGGAAACUACAUAUCUUAAAGCAAAGGGAAUAAAUAACUAAAUUGGAAUAAUGCUGUUUUACACUAAAAUUUAUUUCUUAGGCAUUCGAACCUGGGAUGACAAACAUUGUUUUAUAAUGGUGAGCACAUAAUUUUUAAGGCCAAGGCACAUUUGAUUCCUGAGAUGAAUUUUUUGUGGUCAUAAUCAUUUAGUUGGUUUCCUUUUGAUGCCCCCAAAUAAAGUGGGUAUGUUAUUUUACCAGGAAUUCUUCAUAAUAGUAUCUUACAGAAAAUGUGUUACUCUCUUCACAGAGUGUGGAGUGUAAAGUCACUGUUAAAGCACUAACAUUCCUUAUGGGUGCUUGUUAAAGCCAAAUUUAUUUUGCUUCCCUCUUCUUAGAAGUGCUGCAAACUUUACAACAGCUUCCUUUCCUUCCAUGGCACUGCCUAGUUAUCAGAAAUCUUAUAUAAAUUUUAAAAAGACACCUUUCAUAUAAAAAAGUGAGUUAAGUGAGAGAAAAUGGCAUUAGUUGGCCCUAUAUUUUUUAAAGCUAUAGAAUUGUUCAGCAUCACUUUUAUACAUACUUAUACGUAUCUAAAUAUGUCUUCAUGGUUUACAUUUUCACUUGUAUAUGCUGGGCUGGAUUAAGCUUUGUAAUUGUGACCAAUGUUGAGGCUACGUGAGCACUGUCUUAUCACAUCGCCAAUUCGUUAUAAUAAACGUUCAACGUACAAACACUGUAGUGUGUUUUUAUCUCUUUCCAAAAGUUUGUCAAACUAUGGAGAGCUGAUGAAAGAAGAAUUUUUCAUUUUUUUUUUUUUCAGUAAAAUGUUGACAAUUCCACUCCAUUUGAAUGUGGUUUUGUUAUAAGCACACACAAGAUAAAUGGUGGAAGACUUAAGGAGGCCUUCAUGUACUUCAAGUUCAUUAAAAAUAACAUGUAUUCCACGCUACCAAGAGCUUAUCUACACAUUUAUUUUCAAUCAAUAAAUGCCGCUUUUAAAACCUUGA